GUCUACAGCCAUACCACCCUGAACAUGUCCGAUCUCAUCUGAUCUCGAAAGCUAAGCAGGUUAGGGCCUGGUUAGUACUUGGGUGGGAGAUUAUUCAAACUUUAUUCU
rnacentral:rRNA from 1 species